UCCGAUGUAGUUCAACUGGUUAGAACACCGCAUUGAUAAAGCGGAGCUGUCGGUUUGAGAUCCGGCCUUCGGAUA
rnacentral:tRNA from 1 species